UUUUGUGAAUUGUUUUAUUUUACCAUUGCAGGCUGGGUAAUAAUAUAUUAGCCCUAUCAUGCUGUCAAAAUUUUAUUGUAUGGUGGGUUUAACCUGCUGCAAGGGGUGAGUUUUCUGUGGACCAGCCUAUUAAAGGGGCACGGAAUCCUGAUAUAUUUUACCUCAAUUGGAGAGGCGAGUAGGGUAACUCCCGAGGUAUAACUUUUAGAGUUCACUUCAUGCCAAACCACCACGUGAGGGGGAACUCAGCCAAUGCCAAGGAACGACUAUAUUUUUUAAAAUAAAAACAUGAUUUAUGCAUACAAAACUUUUUAAUAGCCUUGGCGGACUCAGUUGGGAUAGCCCUCGGC
rnacentral:lncRNA from 1 species